GACGUAGGAUGCAAGCGUUGUCCGGAUUUAUUGGGCGUAAAGAGUUCGUAGGUGGUUCGUUAAGUCUGAUGUUAAAGACCGAGGCUCGACUUCGGGACUGCAUUGGAUACUGGCGGACUUGAGUGUGGUAGAGGCAAUCGGAAUUCCAGGUGUAGCGGUGAAAUGCGUAGAUAUCUGGAGGAACACCGGUGGCGAAGGCGGCAUCCUGGACCGGCAUUGACGCUGAGGAGCGAAAGCCAGGGGAGCAAACGGG
rnacentral:rRNA from 1 species